UUGACCAAAAUUUAAUUGUUGUCAAUGGUAAUAAAGUAAUUAUAUUGUUCAAUAAAAAUAUAAAAAAACUAUUUAACCUUAUUUAUUCUUAUAAUAACCAAAAGUCCUAUAAAAAACAUCUCCAUGCCCCCAUAAACAAAACCGAGUGAUUUAGCCAUCGAAAAAGCUAUUUUAGCUUUUGUUAUAAUAUACAACAAAACACCCCUAGACAUGCAUGCAUGGCCUCCCGCGAGUUGCCGUCAAGAGGACUGCUCUAGAGGAUCACUCAGGCCAUCAAAAUCAAGAAUCUUGGAUGUGGAUCUCAUCAUCCAUUAAGGAAGGAUUUUGUUAACUUGUCAUGGCAAAGACAAUCCCACUGUCUGUCGUCAUAUCACACACGACACAGCAACUCAGCUCAAAGGUCAUUGCUAGCUUCUACUCCAUGCCUCCUCCAAUUUUAUUAUUGAAUCGGAAAAGUGGCAGAGAGAAACACACUUUUGUUUGCAUGGAGAUGAAUGAAUGGAUGACGAUAAGGGCCUAUCCUUAAUUUUAUCCUCUUUCUUUUCAUUGGGCAAUCAAAACAAAACCAGGAAAGAAAAGAAAAGAAAAGCUGUGUAUGGUGUUUAAUCGUCUUGUCCUCUCUAGGAAUAAAUGGUGUGAUGAGAGAAAAGGGCCCUUUCAAUUUUCCUCGUUGUAGAUAAGCUGAAGUGUCCUCCUCAUCCUCCAAUCACUUCCAUGUAAUUUAUCAUUUUAUUUUGUUAAAUUAAUUGUUUGUUUUUUUAUUGCGGUUGCAUCGUAUUUUUUAAAAAAAAUUAAAGUUUUAGCUUUAUAUUAUUAUUAUUUUGGUGUGCUAAUAUAAAAAAUAAAUUUUAAUAUAUAUAUUUCCAACUUUUAUCACAUUCUCAACAAGCACUAAAAAUUAUGUAAUAUUAAUAAUUAUUUCGUACCAUCUAAGAAAAAUGAAAAAUAC
rnacentral:lncRNA from 1 species